rnacentral:lncRNA from 1 species
UUCCGUACGAAAAAUUUUAAAUAUAAGAAUAAAAAUAGAAAUAGAAACCACAAUGAAUACGUAAGUUCUCUAUAACAGAUUACUGGUGUGAAAAUCCUAAAAAAUAUAUUUUCCUAUUUAACUUCAAAAGUACGUUUUCUAUAACAUAUUACGGGUGUGAAAAUCCUAUAAAAGAUAUUUUCCUAUUUAAUUUUAAAAUAUCUUUUUUAGAUAUUUUCUAUUUAAUUUCAAAAUAUAUUUUCUUUUUAAGAUAACAGAUUUUAUUUUUCCAUUUAAUUUCAAAAUAUUUUUUUCUAACGGAUUUUAUUUUUCUAUAAUUUCAAAAUAUUUUUUCUUUUAUAUAUUAAUUUCCAAAUUUCAAAAUAUCUUUUCUUUUUAAGAUAACAGAUUUUAUUUUUCUAUUUAAUUUCAAAAUAUUUUUCCUUUUUUACAUUAAUUCCGGCUCAUAUUUUUCAUUUUUCGUCCUCUUCACUCUCUCAUCACAUUUCCUUCCCGCACUUUUAUUCCCGCUCAUAUUUUUCAUUUUAAGAUAACAGAUUUUAAUUUUCUAUUUCAUUUCAAAAUAUUUUUUUUCUUUUUUACAUUAAUUCCCGCUCAUAUUUUUCAUUUUUUGUCCUCUCCACUCUCUUAUCACAUUUCCUUCCCGCACUUUUAUUCCUGCUCAUAUUUUUUAUUUUUCGUUCCUCUCCACUCUCUCAUCACAAAUAAAUAUGGAUAAUCAAGAUUUAUUCAUCUUCAAGCAACUUGAAGCAUAUUCUAUUUGUCUUCAAGUAAUUGCAGGAAAGGAGAGUAUAAUCAAAAUUUAUUCAUCUUUAACUAACUGGGCAUGGGAUCAACGAUUGAAUCAUUCUUCAAGUAAUUGGGAAGAAGGAACAUAUUCUAUUUGUCUUCGAGUAAUUGCAGGAAAGGGAAUUAUAAUUAAGAUCUAUUCGUCUUCAAGUAACUGGGCAUAAGAUCAACGAUUGAAUCAUUCUUCAAGUAAUUGGGAAGACGUGCCAAGUAGUUAUUUUUUGAAUUUUGAAGUUAUUCUUUUUUUUCCCGUUGAGCAUUAUGGAUGGUCUAUGUUUUUUUUCUUGAUUUUUUUUAAUUCCUUGAUCAUGAUGAAUGGUUCUUCACGAUGCAACAUCAAUCAUACAUGGAUUUAUCCAAAUUACAAAGCAACGGGAAUUCCUUCUCUCCUAAAACUUAUAUCAUAUUUUAUAUUCAUGAUCAUCGCUAUCCGAUAAUCAUAACGUGUAUAGGAACGUAACGUGUCAAGGUAAAAUAGGCUUUUGACUUUCGUUUCAAUUCUGAUCCCAUUAUUUAAGCUGUAGCAUCUUAGUCUUCAGUCCUCACAAUUUGUUCAUAUUAGGUUUUCACCUAUCAUUAAGCUAUCCUAGGGCAACAUAAAUAACAAACUCAUAAAUUCUAAAUUAUUAACAGAAAGAAAAGUUAUCAUUACUUUAUAAUUCAAUCCCAACCAUAGUAAGUUAAUUCGCGAAUUAUUCGCGAAUUAUUCGUGAAUUUUUGAAAUACCGAAUAAAACAGCCGUUUUCGUAUUUUUUCUAAAAAUUCAAAAAAAUUCACUUUUUUUGGGUAAAAAUAAUUAUUCGCGAAUUAAACAAGAUUCGUGAAUAAUUCGCCCAAAAAAACGGCGCGGUUGCUGGGACCUGCGAGCCUGCGACGCGGAGUC